GAUGAACGCUGGCGGCGUGCCUAAUACAUGCAAGUCGAGCGAACAGACGAGGAGCUUGCUCCUCUGACGUUAGCGGCGGACGGGUGAGUAACACGUGGAUAACCUACCUAUAAGACUGGGAUAACUUCGGGAAACCGGAGUUAAUACCGGAUAAUAUAUUGAACCGCAUGGUUCAAUAGUGAAAGACGGUUUUGCUGUCAUUUAUACAUGGCUCCGCGCCGCAUUAGCUAGUUGGUAAGGUAACGGCUUACCAAGGCAACGAUGCGUAGCCGACCUGAGAGGGUGAUCGGCCACACUGGGAGUGAGACACGGUCCAGACACCUACGGGAGGCAGCAGUAGGGAAUCUUCCGCAAAGGGCGAAAGCCUGACGGAGCAACGCCACGUGAGUGAUGAAGGUCUUCGGAUCGUAAAACGCUGUUAUUAGUGAAGAACAAAUGUGUAAGUAACUAUGCACGUCCUGACGGUACCUAAUCAGAAAGCCACGGCUAACUACGUG
rnacentral:rRNA from 1 species